CCUACGGGAGGCAGCAGUGGGGAAUAUUGCACAAUGGGGGAAACCCUGAUGCAGCGACGCCGCGUGAGUGAAGAAGUAUUUCGGUAUGUAAAGCUCUAUCAGCAGGGAAGAAAAUGACGGUACCUGAUUAAGAAGCCCCGACUAACUACGUGCCAGCAGCCGCGGUAAUACGUAGGGGGCAAGCGGUAUCCGGAUUUACUGGGUGUAAAGGGAGCGUAGACGGCAGGACAAGUCUGGAGUGAAAUGCCGGGGCUUAACCACGGAACUGCUUUUGAAACUGGGCAGCUAGAGUGCAGGAGAGGUAAGUGGAAUUCGUGGUGUAGCGGUGAAAUGCUUAGAUAUUAGGAGGAACACCAGUUGCGAAGGCAGCUUACUGGACUGUAACUGACGUUGAGGCUCGAAAGCGUGGGGAUCAAACAGGAUUAGAUACCCCUGUAGUC
rnacentral:rRNA from 1 species